rnacentral:lncRNA from 1 species
AGCCAGCUCUAGGUGCCGGCCUUGUUUAGGCUCAGCCAAUUCCUUGGCAGUUGAUUGGUUCAGGAGCUCUGGUCUAAGCCAAUCAGCACACAGCAGCAUCUCCUGGGGAUCUAGGUUGGUCCAGGCUGGACCCAGGAGGCCCUCUCUCCCUCCUGCUGGGCUCAAGGAAGGAAGCAGGUGGCCUCCGCUGCUCCCUGAGGAAUAAGCUCCCACUGAAGAAGGGACUCCAGAGGACUGCCCACCUCUGGGCUUCCUGUUGUGUUGUGCCAUGUGUAAAUCUGUUGGUGCCUUGACUUUGGAAUUCCCAGCCGCCAGAACUGUGAGAAAUAAAUUUCUAUUGUUUAUAAAUGACCCAGUCUAAGGCAUUUUGUUAUAGCCCAAGACACCACCCCUAUCCAAAGCAGCCGCCCCGUCCUCCCUUGCUGGCUGGUUGCUGUCCAUCUCAUUACCUCGCUGAUUUCAUUUCUGGUCCUUAUGACAGGCUGCGCUUCGUUCUGAAUUCAUUUGU